rnacentral:rRNA from 1 species
GACGAACGCUGGCGGCGUGCCUAAUACAUGCAAGUUGAGCGCUGAAGGUUGGUACUUGUACCAACUGGAUGAGCAGCGAACGGGUGAGUAACGCGUGGGGAAUCUGCCUUUGAGCGGGGGACAACAUUUGGAAACGAAUGCUAAUACCGCAUAAAAACUUUAAACACAAGUUUUAAGUUUGAAAGAUGCAAUUGCAUCACUCAAAGAUGAUCCCGCGUUGUAUUAGCUAGUUGGUGAGGUAAAGGCUCACCAAGGCGAUACAUAGCCGACCUGAGAGGGUGAUCGGCCACAUUGGGACUGAGACACGGCCCAAACUCCUACGGGAGGCAGCAGUAGGGAAUCUUCGGCAAUAGACGAAAGUCUGACCGAGCAACGCCGCGUGAGUGAAGAAGGUUUUCGGAUCGUAAAACUCUGUUGGUAGAGAAGAACGUUGGUGAGAGUGGAAAGCUCAUCAAGUGACGGUAACUACCCAGAAAGGGACGGCUAACUACGUG